CACAAAGAUGUUUUCAGUACCUCAAGUUUUUCUAGGAAUCUCUUGCUGAUAACCAUGCUUGUAUCACCUUUGAAUAUCCUAAGCCUAAAAGAAGCUACCGGAAUAACAAAAGAGUGAGAGAUUUCCUGUCAUUGCUCACAGCCUCUGCACCUUGAUGGCCUCUCCUGAGUACCAGCAGUGACUCCACAUAUCCAGCCUUAUGAUGAGUGCUCUGCAGAGUGGUACGUAAAGGUGAAACGAGUGACACAAGAUGAAAAAGGACAAAUGCCCAUUCUCUAGAAAGGACUAACAAGGGGACUGUCUAUGUAUGCGGGAUGCUGCAAAUUCAAGAGCACAGUCACAUCUCACCUUCAGCCUUGCAAGCUCAGCUGUAGCAAUGUUAGCAUGCUGACAGGGUGUGUAGGAGUGGGGGGUAUCAGCUAACAGAGAAAACCUACAUCCAUGCAAUCCUUUGCAGCACUGGAAUGGAAAUAACUGAGAACAGCUUGCUUUGUUGAAGGCAUCACUGCUGUACACCUUCAUUGCUGUAACCAGUCUGAAAGGAAUAACUACGGUCUUUACUAAUGCUGUCUCUGCCACUACUGUUUGUUUUUUUAUCUGUUGUUGUUUUUUAUUAAAUAACUCCACCUUCUUUCUUCUUCCAGUGCUUGAUGCAGCUUCUAAACACAGGCAGAGACUGAACCCAUAGAAAAACAUCACGCAGAGAACACAGUUGUCCCAUUAAUUCAAUCAGUGUAGUAAGGACGUGUUUUGGAAAUUUAAAAUCCCACGUUCAUAUUUCUCUGCUCUAGAAAAGAAUCUCCAAAGAUUGCACCCAAAUCACUGGCAUCAUUACUUUCAAUUCAUCACUGAAAUUCAGACAAGUUGUUUGUAUCUGCAUUAAUGUCACCAAACAGUAAAGUUAAAUGAAUACUUCAAUUCUGUAUCUGCUCCAGUCUGUGGUUCACUGAUGAGAAGUGUACAGUCUCAAACUGUACCUGUCUUCUGGAGCAUUAUAUUCUUUUUCCAACUGUGCUAACUUGUUUAAGCCUAACUUGUUUAAACCUGCUGUGUUGACCAGGAGAAACCAUAGCUUGGGGUUCAGGUGGG
ensembl:lncRNA